GAGAAGCUGAACCACAGAUAAGAAGGCGAACAAGAUUACAAGGAUGUAAAACUGAAGAAAGAAAGCAACAAGGUCUUAACUAGAACUUCGAAUGCCAAGAGAGGUUCAGCUUCAGAGAGGUGAAUGCCAGGUGCCAGAGAAAAUCCAGUUUGAAGAACAGAUGUUUACAGCAUCGUUAAAAAGCAAGGCAUUUCCCAUGUUGGAACCAACAUCAAUUAAGGAAACAAAAAAACAUGUUUUGCGUAAACAAAUGUUAUUUUAAAAUCAAGUCCAACUCACCUGCCAACUCACACGUGAAGAAAGAUUCUCAACUAUAAGUCUGUGUUCAGUACGAAGAGGUGGACCAUACUGGCUACAAGAGAAACAUAUUUCCCAUUACUGUUCAUGUAUACCUCCUGCAUAAAACUGAAUUGCAUUCUG